CCGGAAUUAUUGGGCGUAAAGAGCUCGUAGGCGGUUUGUCGCGUCUGUCGUGAAAGUCCGGGGCUUAACCCCGGAUCUGCGGUGGGUACGGGCAGACUAGAGUGCAGUAGGGGAGACUGGAAUUCCUGGUGUAGCGGUGGAAUGCGCAGAUAUCAGGAGGAACACCGAUGGCGAAGGCAGGUCUCUGGGCUGUAACUGACGCUGAGGAGCGAAAGCAUGGGGAGCGAACAGGAUUAGAUACCCUGGUAGUCCAUGCCGUAAACGUUGGGCACUAGGUGUGGGGACCAUUCCACGGUUUCCGCGCCGCAGCUAACGCAUUAAGUGCCCCGCCUGGGGAGUACGGCCGCAAGGCUAAAACUCAAAGGAAUUGACGGGGGCCCGCACAAGCGGCGGAGCAUGCGGAUUAAUUCGAUGCAACGCGAAGAACCUUACCAAGGCUUGACAUGUUCUCGAUCGCCGUAGAGAUACGGUUUCCCCUUUGGGGCGGGUUCACAGGUGGUGCAUGGUUGUCGUCAGCUCGUGUCGUGAGAUGUUGGGUUAAGUCCCGCAACGAGCGCAACCCUCGUUCCAUGUUGCCAGCACGUCGUGGUGGGGACUCAUGGGAGACUGCCGGGGUCAACUCGGAGGAAGGUGAGGACGACGUCAAAUCAUCAUGCCCCUUAUGUCUUGGGCUUCACGCAUGCUACAAUGGCCGGUACAAUGGGUUGCGAUACUGUGAGGUGGAGCUAAUCCCAAAAAGCCGGUCUCAGUUCGGAUUGGGGUCUGCAACUCGACCCCAUGAAGUCGGAGUCGCUAGUAAUCGCAGAUCAGCAACGCUGCGGUGAAUACGUUCCCGGGCCUUGUACACACCGCCCGUCAAGUCACGAAAGUUGGUAACACCCGAAGCCGGUGGCCUAACCCUUGUGGGGGGAGCCGUCGAAGGUGGGACCAGCGAUUGGGACC
rnacentral:rRNA from 1 species